CAUGCGUAGGCCUUUUUUCAUACGGUGCUGGAAAAACCAAACAAUAUAUUGAAAGCACAGAUGGAAUGCUUCCAAAAAAUCUUUAGCAKGGACAACACCCGUAAAACGCUUGAAGCAAUCAACGGUAAAAAUGAAAGGCAACACAAUAGAGCAAUCAAAAUACCGAAGUGUSSGACWUUGUACGCCACAAGCACUUACGCAAGAGGAGGGGCGGKACAAAUAACACAUUGAACACCGUUUUCCAAACUGGGUCUGUUUUCAGCGAUGGCAACACCUAACCUAGCAAAAUUSAAUGCGGUAGGSAGAAACGAAUGUGGUACUCAUCAGUCGGCCGCAAAAAAGCGGGGGGCCUGACAUAGAACGCACAUCAACAACCACUCACAUGCCGUCACGGUCA
rnacentral:rRNA from 1 species